rnacentral:lncRNA from 1 species
GUGGACUUAAAUCCACUGUCUCAUUCUAGGCACUGUGUGUGAGAAGUGAAUCGAUGAGAAAGUUUUCAUUUAGUGGAUUCCUCUACAGAUUUUUAAAGCCACCACCAACAGAUACGCAAAUGGUCUCCCUGCCCCUGGUGCCCACACACGCUCCAAGUGGAGACCCCUGGCUCCAGACUGAACAGGCUCCCAGUCCAGGAGCAGCUUGGACUGUCCUGCUCUAGCCAGAGUUGGGUGGCCUGUAGAUGUCAUCCUGUGACAGAGUGGGCUGGGGAUGUCAUUCUGGGCACUCUAGGGGCUUGGAAUGGAAGCAUCUCCUUCCCUCUGAGGGAGGCCAGGGUGGUGUCACCUGCCCUGGACCUCCACCUGACACCAUUCACCUAAAGUGUGCUCAGAGCUUCCAACAGCCGACCUGUCACCCACACUACCAUGCAGUGGGUGGCUGUGACAGCAUCCCUUCAUGUGGUUCAGGCUGGGUGUCGGCCACCCAAAGAGAGGCCUUGGAGAAGGGAGGUUCAGCCUCAGGAAGGAAGUCCUCUUACUUUCAAGCGACGAAAGGACACAGGGCUGCGGCGCGAGGGGCCCAAGCAGGUGGCCCAGGCGGCCUGGCGGUGCCCACCUGGCACGGAGGGAGGAGGUGCGCGCACUCCCGCCUGCAGAGGUCAGAGGGAGCGGAUCUUCUCCUCCCAUCCGGCCCCCUCUCCCCUGCCUGGGCUUUUCUUCCAGGAACGGAAUGAGCUACUUUAGCAGUUGAAAGGACAUUCCAUUCCCGUGACAGACAGGAGCCGGAUGCGGGCAUACCUCUGCCCUCUUUCUCCUAGGAAGGGUCAGGCAAUGAAUCACAACGAGUGAAAGUUUAAAACAGCAUUUCUUUAACUUCUAAAGGCCUCUCUCACUGACUUCCAAAGUGCCACCAACUGCUGUCUUCACAUCCCCAGCAAGGACCCAUUGCAGAACCUGUGCUGACCAUGGCGAAUUUUAUCUCUUCAGUAUUACCCUCAGGAAAUGGGUUCUUUUGGCACUAAAGUUGUCUAUUACGGAACGAAGGCGGACAGAGGAUUUUAAAACAGUGGGAAAAAAUGAUCCCCAUGGCAAAGAUCAUUCUGCUGUAUUCUGUUCUCUCUGUGUGGCGAGCCACCAACCCCAGCUCCUGAACCAAUCCGUCUGCCAGAGAAUCUGGAAGUUGCCCAUCAGAAAGGCUCUCCAUAAUGAGCCGCCCAGUAGGAGACACCAGCAGGGAUGAGAAUGAGAGACCAGGUAUUUCCCCAAGAGAACAGAACAUGUUUGAAGUUCAAACCCAUCUUUAACCACAAGGUUUCGCCCUUUAGGCCCUAAACACAUUGCAGUGCACAAGUGGGCUGGAGGGAGAAGGACGGUCUUACUAAACACUUGCUUCCGGAAGGGUUGUCUUCAGCUUCCUGACUCCAGUAAGUUGCACAGGUAUUGUUUUUCAGUUUGCUGGGCCUGCAGGUUGGAGAAAAAAGUAUUUGAAGUGUGUGUGCCUCAGGAGGAGCUCAGGGAGGCAGUGAUUAGGGACUCGUGCAGGAAGGGACAAAGAGCCAAUUACCAUCAAAGCCUGCGGUCUCCCUCGGAGAGGUUAAGGAGGAGAGCACGGGCCUUUGAGCUCCCCUGUCAUCUGUCCCGAGGCGUAAUCAAGUUAUCAUAGCACCCGGCCUCCAUGUAGCUACUUGAAUGAAGGCAAAAAUUCGCGGACAAAUUUCUAGCAGCGGGAAGUUGGUGCUCUCCUGCGAGGCUGGAUGAAAAGCACCUGUAACCUCGCCGGCCCCGUCCCACUCCUGCUGGGAGCCGCUUCAGGUGGCAGCUUCAGGCCGCUGGCUCCAGGCCUCUUGUCCGUGCAGGCCGGGUUGGGGGUGGGGAUGCUAUUAUGAGGUUCACGAGAGUGACAG